rnacentral:rRNA from 1 species
CCUACGGGAGGCAGCAGUCGAGAAUCAUUCACAAUGGGGGAAACCCUGAUGGUGCGACGCCGCGUGGGGGAAUGAAGGUCUUCGGAUUGUAAACCCCUGUCAUGUGGGAGCAAAUUAAAAAGAUAGUACCACAAGAGGAAGAGACGGCAAACUCUGUGCCAGCAGCCGCGGUAAUACAGAGGUCUCAAGCGUUGUUCGGAAUCACUGGGCGUAACGCGUGCGUAGGCUGUUUCGUAAGUCGUGUGUGAAAGGCGCGGGCUAAACCCGCGGACGGCACAUGAUACUGCGAGACUAGAGUAAUGGAGGGGGAACCGGAAUUCUCGGUGUAGCAGUGAAAUGCGUAGAUAUCGAGAGGAACACUCGUGGCGAAGGCGGGUUCCUGGACAUUAACUGACGCUGAGGCACGAAGGCCAGGGGAGCGAAAGGGAUUAGAUACCCUUGUAGUC